AUUGAACGCUGGCGGCAGGCUUAACACAUGCAAGUCGAGCGGGGUGAUGGUGCUUGCACUAUCACUUAGCGGCGGACGGGUGAGUAAUGCUUAGGAAUCUGCCUAUUAGUGGGGGACAACAUCUCGAAAGGGAUGCUAAUACCGCAUACGUCCUACGGGAGAAAGCAGGGGAUCACUUGUGACCUUGCGCUAAUAGAUGAGCCUAAGUCGGAUUAGCUAGUUGGUGGGGUAAAGGCCUACCAAGGCGACGAUCUGUAGCGGGUCUGAGAGGAUGAUCAGCCACACUGGGACUGAGAGACGGCCCAGACUCCUACGGGAGGCAGCAGUGGGGGAUAUUGGACAAUGGGGGGAACCCUGAUCCAGCCAUGCCGCGUGUGUGCAGAAGGCCUUAUGGUUGUAAAGCACUUUAAGCGAGGAGGAGGCUCUUUUGGUUAAUACCCAAGAUGAGUGGACGUUACUCGCAGAAUAAGCACCGGCUAACUCUGUGCCAGCCGCCGCCGUAA
rnacentral:rRNA from 1 species